GCUAGUAAAGGAUAACAGUACAUCCGCUGGCCUUAGGCGCCAGAAACUCUUGGUGCGACUCCAAGUACUAGCU
rnacentral:tRNA from 1 species